AGAAUCAACGCUGGCGGCGCGCUUAACACAUGCAAGUCGCACGAGAAAGUGGAGCAAUCCAUGAGUAAAGUGGCGUACGGGUGAGUAACACGUGGAUUAUCUACCUCUUGGUGGGGAAUAACCCUGGGAAACCGGGGCUAAUACCGCAUAAGCCUGCGAAGGGAAAGCAGCAAUGCGCCGAGAGAGGAGUCCGCGGCCGAUUAGCUAGUUGGUAGGGUAAUGGCCUACCAAGGCAAUGAUCGGUAGCCGGCCUGAGAGGGCACACGGCCACACUGGCACUGAAACACGGGCCAGACUCCUACGGGAGGCAGCAGUGGGGAAUCUUGCACAAUGGGGGCAACCCUGAUGCAGCGACGCCGCGUGAGCGAUGAAGCCCUUCGGGGUGUAAAGCUCUUUCGGCAGGAACGAUAAUGACGGUACCUGAAGAAGAAGCUGCGGCUAACUCGCGCCAGCAGCCGC
rnacentral:rRNA from 1 species